rnacentral:misc_RNA from 1 species
UCCGGUUUGUCACCGGCAGUCCCAUUAGAGUGCUCAACUGAAUGUAGCAACUAAUGACAAGGGUUGCGCUCGUUGCGGGACUUAACCCAACAUCUCACGACACGAGCUGACGACAGCCAUGCAGCACCUGUGUUCCCGUUCCCUUUCGGGCACAGCCGGGUUUCCCCAGCCUCCAGGACAUGUCAAGGGUAGGUAAGGUGGGGAUGACGUUUAGGAACACCAAC